UAGCUCAACUGGUAGAGCAAGGCAUUAACACUGCUGGGGGGGUGUGGGUUUGAUUCUCACUGAGGCCA